CAGGGGGCCACGGCCGAAUGAGUGACAGAGGGUAGGGGGGUUGCGUCGGGGAACUGGCUCCCGCCUCUGGUUCCCUCUGCCCGUGGCGCGCUCCUCUUCCUUCCUGGAGGCAGAAUAAAUCACAAUGAGUGUUGACUCCAGCUGGGACACGAGGACACAGUGAAUCGGUUUCGAGGGUUUCUCUCACCUCCGCGCUGGUUACAGCUCCCGGACGACUGCUGGGAUACAGGGACACAGUGAAUCGAUUUCAAGGUUCUCUCUCACCUCUGUGCUGGUUGCAGCUUCUGGGUAGGUAUGGCUCUCUCCACAGCUCAAUAUCUCAGUGUUCACGCUGGCUCUCUUUCUCUCC